CCCGGCGAGGGGAGUGAAACAGAACCUGAAACCGUGUACGUACAAGCAGUGGGAGCAUGAGUUUACUCAUGUGACUGCGUACCUUUUGUAUAAUGGGUCAGCGACUUAUAUUCUGUAGCAAGGUUAACCGUAUAGGGGAGCCGCAGGGAAACCGAGUCUUAAUUGGGCGUUAAGUUGCAGGGUAUAGACCCGAAACCCGGUGAUCUAGCCAUGGGCAGGUUGAAGGUUGGGUAACACUAACUGGAGGACCGAACCGACUAAUGUUGAAAAAUUAGCGGAUGACCUGUGGCUGGGGGUGAAAGGCCAAUCAAACCGGGAGAUAGCUGGUUCUCCCCGAAAGCUAUUUAGGUAGCGCCUCGUGAACUCAUCUCCGGGGGUAGAGCACUGUUUCGGCCAGGGGGCCAUCCCGGCUUACCAACCCGAUGCAAACUGCGAAUACCGGAGAAUGUUAUCACGGGAGACACACGGCGGGUGCUAACGUCCGUCGUGAAGAGGGAAACAACCCAGACCGCCAGCUAAGGUCCCAAAGUCAUGGUUAAGUGGGAAACGAUGUGGGAAGGCCCAGACAGCCAGGAUGUUGGCUUAGAAGCAGCCAUCAUUUAAAGAAAGCGUAAUAGCUCACUGGUCGAGUCGGCCUGCGCGGAAGAUGUAACGGGGCUAAACCAUGCACCGAAGCUGCGGCAGCGACACUGUGUGUUGUUGGGUAGGGGAGCGUUCUGUAAGCCUGCGAAGGUGUGCUGUGAGGCAUGCUGGAGGUAUCAGAAGUGCGAAUGCUGACAUAAGUAACGAUAAUGCGGGUGAAAAACCCGCACGCCGGAAGACCAAGGGUUCCUGUCCAACGUUAAUCGGGGCAGGGUGAGUCGACCCCUAAGGCGAGGCCGAAAGGCGUAGUCGAUGGGAAACAGGUUAAUAUUCCUGUACCUGGUGUUACUGCGAAGGGGGGACGGAGAAGGCUAUGUUGGCCGGGCGACGGUUGUCCCGGUUUAAGCGUGUAGGCUGGUUUUCCAGGCAAAUCCGGAAAAUCAAGGCUGAGGCGUGAUGACGAGGCACUACGGUGCUGAAGCAACAAAUGCCCAGCUUCCAGGAAAAGCCUCUAAGCCUCAGGUAACAUCAGAUCGUACCCGAAACCGACACAGGUGGUCAGGUAGAGAAUACCAAGGCGCUUGAGAGAACCCGGGUGAAGGAACUAGGCAAAAUGGUGCCGUAACUUCGGGAGAAGGCACGCUGACACGUAGGUGAAGCGG
rnacentral:rRNA from 1 species